GUCGAAGGUGGGGCUGAUGACUGGGGUGAAGUCGUAACAAGGUAUCCGUACCGGAAGGUGCGGAUGGAUCACCUCCUAACAGGGAGACAACACAAUGAUUUUGAUGCCUGAGUGCUUUUAUUCUUAGGCCGAAAUCCUGUCACCUUAGGUCGAUCGGUACCUCAGCUUUGAAAUCAAGGAUCGGCAGCAAUGUUGAUUGCUUGAUGGAGAUUUUUAGUUCCUAAACUUUGUCUAGGUCACACCCCAAAAGGGAUGAGACUCCUGGGCCAUUAGCUCAGGUGGUUAGAGCGCACCCCUGAUAAGGGUGAGGUCCCUGGUUCAAGUCCAGGAUGGCCCAUUCGGUGUUGGGGGUUUAGCUCAGUUGGUAGAGCGCCUGCUUUGCAAGCAGGAUGUCAGGAGUUCGAGUCUCCUAACCUCCACUGACCGAACUUAAUUCCCAUCUCCAAUUCUUUUGGAGUUGAGCUCGAUUGGAGUGUGAUUUAGAUGUGUCCGCUGGAUGACCCCAGCUUCCUGUCAUUCCAAGUUUUAGGUUGAAGCCUUGAAUUUGGUUGAUAAGAUGCUGGGCUCGGAUCAAAUUAUCAAGCAAUUGAUGAUUUGAUUUGAAGUUCUAGCAGAACCUUGACAACUGCAUAGGUGAGUCUGGAAAAAACAAAGCAUCUUACAGAUGCAUUGUUUUGAAUCUGAUCUUCUGAAAGGGAGAUUGGAUCUAGAACAAUGAAAAUUCUUUUGAGCAAGAGCCGAGACUCUUGAAUGUUCUUUGAUUCGUGUCGAGCGAAUCAGAGUUUGAUCUUGUUUUUAGCAAUAAAAACUUGAGAAUCUGCUUUCAACGGCGGUAAGCGUUCAGGAGGUUAAUUGGUCAAGCUACAAAGGGCUCA
rnacentral:misc_RNA from 1 species